ensembl:lncRNA
CCCUGCUCCCGCUGCACGCAGUUCUGCUCUCUCUUCUACACCGCUGCUUUAGGGAUAAAUCCUACCCUGGUAGUCGGUCGCGAGUCAGCAACUCCUAUUGAAGUUGAGCUGCAUUUCUCUGCAGGCGCAGUUUUACUGAAGGCGUAUUUUUGGAGCGCUCCAGCAGGAGGACGGAGGGAGGCAAGGGAGGUAACGAGAUGUACAGCUGAAGUGACUCGGAUGGCAAAAGAACGCAAAAGCACGCAAAAGAAUGAGCAGUCCCUCGGUGUGUUCUGAAAUCCCUCUUCAAACCUUCCUAUGUCAGCAUCAUCUUUCCCGUUUAUACGGAAACAGCCAACCUGACGUGCCGCACGUUUACCGUGCUUUGGAGGAGGUUAACAAGGGCUAACACGGGAAGCAAAGGAGGAACCGCACAGGAUGCAGGUGAAUUAAGUGCUCUGGCGUGUAUUAGAGCAGACUAACCCUGUCCGUGCAGGUGGGAAAAGGCUUAAGGACAGCACAGGCAGCGAGAUACACGUUUGAUCUCUCCUAGAAGACGCAGACUGAAAUCCCACCCUGCUUGAAGUCACCAUGAAUAUUCACACCGACUUGAACAGGGCCAGCGCUCAGCCUACCAUCAGCACAUCACUUGACGCGACAGUGCGAAAGCAUCGUCCUGGCUAAAGACGGUUGUUUUCAGUAUCUCAGGGAGAGCUCCGGGAAAGAGGGGGACAGACUCCUUAGCAGGGUCUGCGGUGACAGAACAAGAGCUUCAAGGUCAGAGAGGGCGGACUCACGUUAGAUAUGGGGAAAAAUACUUGUACAGCGAGGGUGGUUUUGAGUCGAUUCACGGCUUUUGAAGGGCCGAAGACGAAUCCCCCCCGUUAACGCGAGUCCGAGCAAGUUUUACGCCGUGCCGGCAGCCGCCAGAGAGCACCGACCCCCCUCAUCGGAGGGCGUCGAGGCGUGGAGGCUUCUGGAGACGGCGGUCAAGAGGGGGAACGUCGCUGCCAGCGCUCUGCCCGUUGCCCCGUGCCGCCGCCAGGGGGCGC